GGAAUUUAGCUCAGUGGUAGAGCGCUUGCCUAGCAAGCACAAGGCUCUGGGUUCAGUCCCCAGCUCCG
rnacentral:tRNA from 1 species